rnacentral:rRNA from 1 species
GGGGAGUACGGCCCGCCAAGGGUGAAACUCAAAGGAAUUGACGGGGACCCGCACAAGCGGUGGAUGAUGUGGUUUAAAUUGACGCAACGCGAAAAACCUUACCUACCCUUGACAUGCCAGGAACUUGCCAGAGAUGGCUUGGUGCUCGAAAGAGAACCUGGACACAGGUGCUGCAUGGCCGUCGUCAGCUCGUGUCGUGAGAUGUUGGGUUAAGUCCCGCAACGAGCGCAACCCUUGUCAUUAGUUGCUACGUAAGGGCACUCUAAUGAGACUGCCGGUGACAAACCGGAGGAAGGUGGGGAUGACGUCAGGUCAUCAUGGCCCUUAUGGGUAGGGCUACACACGUCAUACAAUGGCCGGUACAGAGGGCUGCCAACCCGCGAGGGGGAGCCAAUCCCAGAAAACCGGUCGUAGUCCGGAUCGCAGUCUGCAACUCGACUGCGUGAAGUCGGAAUCGCUAGUAAUCGCGGAUCAGCUUGCCGCGGUGAAUACGUUCCCGGGUCUUGUACACACCGCCCGUCACACCAUGGGAGCGGGUUCCGCCAGAAGUAGGUAGCCUAACCGCAAGGAGGGCGCUUACCACGGCGG